GAUGAACGCUGGCGGCGUGCCUAAUACAUGCAAGUCGAGCGAACGGACGAGAAGCUUGCUUCUCUGAUGUUAGCGGCGGACGGGUGAGUAACACGUGGAUAACCUACCUAUAAGACUGGGAUAACUUCGGGAAACCGUAGCUAAUACCGGAUAAUAUUUUGAACCGCAUGGUUCAAAAGUGAAAGACGGUCUUGCUGUCACUUAUAGAUGGAUCCGCGCUGCAUUAGCUAGUUGGUAAGGUAACGGCUUACCAAGGCAACGAUGCAUAGCCGACCUGAGAGGGUGAUCGGCCACACUGGAACUGAGACACGGUCCAGACUCCUACGGGAGGCAGCAGUAGGGAAUCUUCCGCAAUGGGCGAAAGCCUGACGGAGCAACGCCGCGUGAGUGAUGAAGGUCUUCGGAUCGUAAAACUCUGUUAUUAGGGAAGAACAUAUGUGUAAGUAACUGUGCACAUCUUGACGGUACCUAAUCAGAAAGCCACGGCUAACUACGUGCCAGCAGCCGCGGUAAUACGUAGGUGGCAAGCGUUAUCCGGAAUUAUGGGGCGUAAGCGCGCGUAGGCGGUUUUUUAGUCUGAUGUGAAAGCCCACGGCUCAACCGUGGAGGGUCAUUGGAAACUGGAAAACUUGAGUGCAGAAGAGGAAAGUGGAAUUCCAUGUGUAGCGGUGAAAUGCGCAGAGAUAUGGAGGAACACCAGUGGCGAAGGCGACUUUCUGGUCUGUAACUGACGCUGAUGUGCGAAAGCGUGGGGAUCAAACAGGAUUAGAUACCCUGGUAGUCCACGCCGUAAACGAUGAGUGCUAAGUGUUAGGGGGUUUCCGCCCCUUAGUGCUGCAGCUAACGCAUUAAGCACUCCGCCUGGGGAGUACGACCGCAAGGUUGAAACUCAAAGGAAUUGACGGGGACCCGCACAAGCGGUGGAGCAUGUGGUUUAAUUCGAAGCAACGCGAAGAACCUUACCAAAUCUUGACAUCCUUUGACAACUCUAGAGAUAGAGCCUUCCCCUUCGGGGGACAAAGUGACAGGUGGUGCAUGGUUGUCGUCAGCUCGUGUCGUGAGAUGUUGGGUUAAGUCCCGCAACGAGCGCAACCCUUAAGCUUAGUUGCCAUCAUUAAGUUGGGCACUCUAAGUUGACUGCCGGUGACAAACCGGAGGAAGGUGGGGAUGACGUCAAAUCAUCAUGCCCCUUAUGAUUUGGGCUACACACGUGCUACAAUGGACAAUACAAAGGGCAGCGAAACCGCGAGGUCAAGCAAAUCCCAUAAAGUUGUUCUCAGUUCGGAUUGUAGUCUGCAACUCGACUACAUGAAGCUGGAAUCGCUAGUAAUCGUAGAUCAGCAUGCUACGGUGAAUACGUUCCCGGGUCU
rnacentral:rRNA from 1 species